UACAUGUGGGGCAAGCGUUGUUCGGAAUUACUGGGCAUAAAGGGUGCGUAGGUGGCAUGUUAAGUCAGGGGUGAAAGCCGGCGGCCCAACCGUCGGACUGCCUCUGAUACUGGCGUGCUUGAGUGCGUGAGGGAUGACUGGAACGAGUGGUGUAGCGGUGAAAUGCGUAGAUAUCACUCGGAACACCAAAGGCGAAGGCAGGUCAUUGGCACGCAACUGACGCUGAGGCACGAAAGCGUGGGGAGCAAACAGG
rnacentral:rRNA from 1 species